rnacentral:rRNA from 1 species
UACAGAGGUCUCAAGCGUUUGUUCGGAUUCAUUGGGCGUAAAGGGUGCGUAGGCGGCGCGGUAAGUCGGGUGUGAAAUCUUGGAGCUUAACUCCGAAAACUGCAUUCGAUACUGCCGUGCUUGAGGACUGGAGAGGAGACUGGAAUUUACGGUGUAGCGGUGAAAUGCGUAGAUAUCGUAAGGAAGACCAGUGGCGAAGGCGGGUCUCUGGACAGUUCCUGACGCUGAGGCACGAAGGCCAGGGGGAGCAAACGGGG